rnacentral:lncRNA from 1 species
GAUGUAAUUUGAGAAGGACACGAUUAUAAGACAUUCACCAAUGUUGUUUAGAUUCCUCAUCCUGGUAAGUGUCACUUUAAAAAAUAUUUUACAAAUGAAUAUACAAAUUUAGAAAUUAAAAAGUUAAAUUAGACACCAUCAAACCUGAGAAUUGUGCUAGACAACUACAUGUAAAGCUCAUAAAGAAAUAUAGUGUAAACUCAAGUGAUCUGGAAGCGGAGUAAGUUAGUCCUUCUAAACCUUGGGUACAUAUUGACCAUUUAAUUUCAUCUUUUCUAGAUAUUGCUCAUAAUUAUUUCAAAAUUCUUAUUGUGGUUUUGACCAAAAAAAUACUGCAAUAUUAACACUUUUAGAUUGACCUGAAAUAAAAAAUGAUGUUUCAAAUGGAUUGGGCGAAAAGCUAAAUACAAGCUAACAAAAGAAAUAAAUGCUAAACGAAUUUAAUACACUCAAAUAAAAUGUUUGUACAUUCAUGAAUUGUCAGACAAAAACAUAUAUAUUUCAGGUUCACGUUUGUGCGGCAUUCCCAUUAAAAUGCCCAGAACCAGCACAGUGGUCACUCCGGGCUAAAAGUCAUUGUCCUGAUCCAUCUAAGUAUUUCUGCCUGAAGAAUGAUCUCAUAAACGGAUAUUCUGAAAAUUGCACAGUAUUCGAUUUUCUACAGCCAGGUAAAUUAUUUUUUUUAUGUAUCUACCCUUACAGCAAAAUGAUCCCUUUAACUGUUUCCAAAUGAUUUAAUCAGACCUUACAUCAAUUUAUCUCAAUUCUGACGACAUAUAUGUUACAAAAACCUGAAUUCAAAUAAAUGACGGUAGGAUGUUUCCUUUACAAAUAAUUCAUUAAACAAAGAUGUUAUUUUUUUUACUUUAAAAAUCAUAUUUAAUAUAACUGAUUCCCUCAACCACUAUAUGACACUAUAUUUAAGUCUUUGAAUAUUUCCCUACAGGUAGAAAAAAUGUUCUUCGUGGAGGAUUAGAUGCAGA